rnacentral:rRNA from 1 species
UACGUAGGGUGCAAGCGUUAAUCGGAAUUACUGGGCGUAAAGCGUGCGCAGGCGGCUUUGCAAGACAGACUGUGAAAUCCCGGGCUUAACCUGGGAACUGCAUUUGUGACUGCAUGGCUGGAGUGCGGCAGAGGGGGAUGGAAUCCGCGUGUAGCAGUGAAAUGCGUAGAUAUGCGGAGGAACACCGAUGCGAAGGCAAUCCCCUGGGCCUGCACUGACGC